UGAGCAACCUACCCUCAACUUUGGGAUAAGCCUCGGAAACGGGGUCUAAUACCGAAUAAUAGCCCUGCUCUCAUGUGUGGGGUUUGAAAGUUCUGGCGGUUGGGGAUGGGCUCGCGGACUAUCAGCUUGUUGGUGGGGUAAUGGCCUACCAAGGCGUCGACGGUUAGCCUGCCUGGGAGGGCGACCGGCCACACUGGGACUGGGACACGGCCCAGACUCCUACGGGAGGCA
rnacentral:rRNA from 1 species